UCCCCUGACCAAGAGGAAGGGCCUCGCCCCGC
rnacentral:piRNA from 1 species